GAAGUGCUACCUAAUUGUAGGAUAUGAGAGAAGAAAUUGUAUUGGGUAUAUAAGCCGGAAAUCAACAAAACAGGGGCUCGAUUAAGAUGUAAUUUAUAGCAAUGACACCGUGUCUUUCUAUCGUGCUCUAAAAACCAAGACUUGCCCCUAACCAGUUGUAGGAUGAACACUUUUUCCUAGUGCUAAAUUAUAUGUUUUAUUGCUGCUAGUCAUGCUGAAAUGAUAGUUAACUUCUUCUUUUUUUUUG
rnacentral:lncRNA from 1 species